rnacentral:rRNA from 1 species
GACGAACGCUGGCGGCGUGCUUAACACAUGCAAGUCGAACGGAAAGGCCCUGCUUUUGUGGGGUGCUCGAGUGGCGAACGGGUGAGUAACACGUGAGUAACCUGCCCUUGACUUUGGGAUAACUUCAGGAAACUGGGGCUAAUACCGGAUAGGAGCUCCUGCUGCAUGGUGGGGGUUGGAAAGUUUCGGCGGUUGGGGAUGGACUCGCGGCUUAUCAGCUUGUUGGUGGGGUAGUGGCUUACCAAGGCUUUGACGGGCAGCCGGCCUGAGAGGGUGACCGGCCACAUUGGGACUGAGAUACGGCCCAGACUCCUACGGGAGGCAGCGGUGGGGAAUAUUGCACAAUGGGCGGAAGCCUGAUGCAGCAACGCCGCGUGCGGGAUGACGGCCUUCGGGUUGUAAACCGCUUUCGCCUGUGACGAAGCGUGAGUGACGGUAAUGGGUAAAGAAGCAGCGGCUAACUACGUG